rnacentral:tRNA from 2 species
GAGGGUAUAGCUCAGUGGUAGAGCGCAUGCUUAGCAUGCAUGAGGUCCUGGGUUCAAUCCCCAGUACCUUCA